UCUAUGAUUGGUCAAUUGCACCAAAACUCAAGGUGAUUGGUGCAUUCAACAGGCAGUUUAUGAAUAUGCUGGAAUUCAUCAAAAUUUCAUAGAAUUUGGACAUUUGGUCAGUGUGAGCAAAUGAAUUGGUGAGUGAAUAUUUUGGAAACAUUUCCAUGAUUGCAUUGAUUGUAGGAUUGUUUUUUUUUUAUAACAUCAUAAAUGUAUCAAAACAAUUUCGAAUGAUCGGAUGGCAUCGAGAAUAUUGGAAUUUCCAAGACAAUAAAAAUUAUUAAGAC